rnacentral:rRNA from 1 species
CGGCAGGCUUUACACAUGCAAGUCGAGGGGUAUAGUUCUUCGGAAUUAGAGACCGGCGCACGGGUGCGUAACGCGUAUGCAAUCUACCUUUCACAGAGGGAUAGCCCAGAGAAAUUUGGAUUAAUACCUCAUAGUAUAGCAGUUUCGCAUGAAACCACUAUUAAAGAUUUAUCGGUGAAAGAUGAGCAUGCGUCCCAUUAGUUAGUUGGUAAGGUAACGGCUUACCAAGACAACGAUGGGUAGGGGUCCUGAGAGGGAGAUCCCCCACACUGGUACUGAGACACGGACCAGACUCCUACGGGAGGCAGCAGUGAGGAAUAUUGGACAAUGGGCGCAAGCCUGAUCCAGCCAUGCCGCGUGCAGGAUGACGGUCCUAUGGAUUGUAAACUGCUUUUAUACAGGAAGAAACAGUUCUACGUGUAGAACCUUGACGGUACUGUAAGAAUAAGGAUCGGCUAACUCCGUGCCAGCAGCCGCGGUAAUACGGAGGAUCCAAGCGUUAUCCGGAAUCAUUGGGUUUAAAGGGUCCGUAGGCGGUCAGGUAAGUCAGUGGUGAAAGCCCAUCGCUCAACGGUGGAACGGCCAUUGAUACUGUCUGACUUGAAUUAUUAGGAAGUAACUAGAAUAUGUAGUGUAGCGGUGAAAUGCUUAGAGAUUACAUGGAAUACCAAUUGCGAAGGCAGGUUACUACUAAUAUAUUGACGCUGAUGGACGAAAGCGUGGGUAGCGAACAGGAUUAGAUACCCUGGUAGUCCACGCCGUAAACGAUGGAUACUAGCUGUUGGGAGCAAUCUCAGUGGCUAAGCGAAAGUGAUAAGUAUCCCACCUGGGGAGUACGUUCGCAAGAAUG